CCAAGACAACAACGGGACAAAGAUGGCGACUGCUUCUGCAAUGGGACGUCUACUGUAGCGUCCAGACCUCCGCAUCACCAGGACGAACCCAGGCCGUGCAGCAAGCGUAUUCACUACCCUUAUUCUAACAAGAUGACCGCCAGCAUGACACACUGGAACCACCAAGCCAACCUCAGCCACCUCUGUCGCCAGGCUAGCACAGUUCAAAUUGUCAUGGAGAAGAAGUCCAUCCAAGAGUGGACAGAGAAGAGGACAGGUGUCUGGACCUCACCUGAGCCACCUGACCCCACUCGCUCCACAUGGGCCAGCUAGCCCCAGUACCUCACAGGAAGCAUGCUCGGUGCUCCUGACUGACUGACAGCCCAGUGGAGGGGAGUGAUGAGCAGAAUGCUCAGGUGGCUGCAGCAGCGUGCUCUCUCUGUCCUGUCAGUCACUCUGCCAGUGGAAACGGACUCUGUUAACUGAACACCUGUUUGUAGGUAAACAAUUUGAGGUGAGUAGACUCAUUGUUUUUGCUGUAGUAAUUCUCAUAAGAACAUGUGCAUUGCCUCAGAUUUGUCUGACAUGCAGACCGGCUGAUUGUCUGAAGCCAAGAAAGCUGCACCUGGUCAUGUUGUCUGUGGUGCUGUUCCUGUAGCUGGCUCUCAUCUUUUUUUAG